GGGCUAGUAAUGGCGCAUCAGCUACGGCGCCGUGNAUACGUUCCCAGGCCUUGUACACACCGCCCGUCACAUCAUGAAAGCCGGUUGUACCCGAAGUCCAUGUUGCUAACCGCAAGGAAGCAGUGGCCGAAGGUAUGGCUGGUGAUUGGGAUGAAGUCGUAACAAGGUAGCCGUAGGGGAACCUGCGGCUGGAUCACCUCCUUUCUAAGGAGACUAUGGACCGGAGAAAUCCGGAACCCUAGGUCGAACCCCGACUCGGACUCACGUCCUCGUCGGGACGGCUCGAGCCAAUCGCUUAUCGCACUAUUCAGUUCUUCAAGGAGCAGAAAUGUUCUUUUACAAUCGAUCGUUUAAAUAUUCGAACCUGCCUGGCCGGCGAAUUUGAAAUUUCAAAUCUCAAAUUUGAAAUUACUUGUUGGGGCUGUAGCUCAGUUGGUAGAGCGGUAGCUUUGCAAGCUAUAGGUCAGGAGUUCGAGCCUCCUCAGCUCCACCAAAUUUGGGCCUGUAGCUCAGUUGGUUAGAGCAUGCGCUUGAUAAGCGCAGGGUCACUGGUUCGAGUCCAUUUAGGCCCACCAA
rnacentral:rRNA from 1 species